rnacentral:rRNA from 1 species
UACGUAGGGGGCAAGCGUUAUCCGGAAUUACUGGGCGUAAAGCGCACGCAGGCGGUUCGCCAAGUUUGGAGUGACAGUUGUCGGCUCAACCGACAAAGGACUUCAAAAACUGGUGAACUUGAGGACGAGAGAGGAACAUGGAACUCCAGGUGUAGUAGUGAAAUGCGUAGAUAUCUGGAAGAACACCAAUGGCGAAGGCAAUGUUCUGGCUCGUUUCUGACGCUCAGGUGCGAAAGCCAGGGGAGCGAACAGG